rnacentral:sRNA from 2 species
UGCAAUCUUACAAUAUCCUCUCUUCUCAUUGUCCUUUUAGUUUUGUUCUGUUUGUGCCAUCCCAUUCGACGAAAUACCAGCAUACCAAAGCCAGUUAACAGAAAGAUAUGAGUUAAUCACAGACCACCUCACCCCUGGGUAAAUAAGUAAAUCAAUAAAUGACGGAGAAAAACCUCAAAAAUGACACGUUAAAUAGCUAUACUCUCCUGCUACCGUUGGUGUCAUAGGAAAUGUUAAUGACGGUAUACGCACAGGAACUGUACUGGAAUAGGAAUAUCUUGGGUUGAGUAUAUCGCUCAGCCAUUGAUAUUGGAGAGACGGGAAUACAAAUAUUUAAUCCAACAGCUUCUAGUAUCGCUCCCUGAGGAAUUGAUGUGCCGAAUCCGGGAUUCAAAAUUCUAUCACGCUACAGGGUACAAAAUGGGCGUCUUAGAAAUGGCCGGGCUCAUUUAUGUGUUAUAGCAAGAUAAUGAAUUGGUCAUUUCAAAUGGAUUGAAGACUGCACAGGAAUAAGAAGACGAAAGUUUUUCUCAACUUUUCAUACCUAGAAAAAUCAGAUAGUUACGAAUAUGGUUGUUUUCUGUGAAGUUCUUUCUUUCUCUACCUCUUCCGCCCUCCAUUCAUUAAUAUUAAAUUGAUAUUAAAACCUGAAAAGAUGUAUUUUAGAAUUGCUUUCGAUACCGAAGACGAAAAAACCAUCUUCGAUGAUAAUUUACAG